rnacentral:rRNA from 1 species
UACGUAGGUGGCGAGCGUUGUCCGGAUUUACUGGGCGUAAAGGGCGUGCAGGCGGUUUGUUAAGUGCAGGGUGAAAGCUCCCGGCUCAACUGGGAGAGGUCCUUGCAUACUGGCGAACUCGAGGGAGGCAGAGGAAAGUGGAAUUCCCGGUGUAGUGGUGAUAUGCGUAGAUAUCGGGAGGAACACCUGUGGCGAAGGCGGCUUUCUGGGCCUUACCUGACGCUGAGACGCGAAAGCGUGGGGGAGCGAACAGG